GUGAGCAAGUAUGUUUUUGUUCCUUCCAAAACAAUUAAUUAAUGUGAACUGACUGAGCUCUGGGGAAAAUGUAUAUUCUAGGACAUAUGUGAAGCUGGUUUCAGUAUAGUUGGAAGCUUUCAACUGGAAAAUUCUCUAUUUAGCAAUUACAUGCAAUGAGAAAACUCAGAAUUCAUCAGUGAUUCAGUCACUGGCAAGUCACGAGAGUGCAAGAGAAGGCACAAGAGUGCAAGAGAAGGCACGAAAGGAUGACUCGUCACGUACACCAAACCAGCAGUGGUGGUUCAGUCACUAAGUCGUGUCUGAGUCUUGCGACCCCUUGGAUUGUAGCCCACCAGGCUCUUCUGUCCAUGGGAUUUUCCCCCAAAUGACUAAUUAACAGGAUCUUGUGGGGAGAUUUAUAAAAAUAUAUAUUCCUGCACCAAAAUGCACCCCACCAACCCCUGAGCGUUCUNNNNNNNNNNNNNNNNNNNNNNNNNNNNNNNNNNNNNNNNNNNNNNNNNNNNNNNNNNNNNNNNNNNNNAGAACCACUGCUCUGAGUCAGUGGAUUUCACUAUGAUGCUUGUGAAUUCAUACUAGGAAACAGCAAACAAACACUUGCCUCCAACUCCACCUUCAGAAUAUUCUGAUUACUUCUAUUUUUUCAUUAUUUUUUAUGACAGGGCUGAGGAAUGCCAGUUUUUUCAAAUUAAUUCAUAGAUAUCAUCCAGUUAAAAGUAUGACUAUGCCAGUUUCCUGGGAGAAUGUGGCUCUGAUUCAUCACAUGUGUGAAAAGAGAAAAAAUGCUACACCCCAAUGCCAGAAAAAUUCACUUGUGGCUAAAAAAAAUGAAACCAAUGCCAACAUCUUCAAGCUCAGGAGUCCCCAACCUCUGGGACCCAAUGCCUGAUGAUCUGAGGUGGAGUUGGUGUCAUAAUAAUAAAAUAAAGUGCCCAAUAAAUGCAAUGUGCUUGAGUCAUCUGCAAACCAUUCCCCACACCCGCCCCCUACGGCAGAAAAACUUAUCUCCCACAAAACUGGUCUUUGGGACCAAAAGGGUUGGGCAAUACUGUCUAAUUAUUGGGCAGGUGAUGAAGGUAGUUGACAAAUGGGGUGCUUGCCCACUGACGGGAUGCCUCUACAGUGAUGAAACCAAGGACUUCCCCACUGCGAGCCUGACAAAGUCCUGUGCACCACCACAGACCCCACCCCCAAGGCCGUCACUCUUGUAUGCGUUGGAACUUGCCCUCUGAAGAUGGGACAAGACUUGGGAGUUAAGUCCCUAGUACUAAGAGCAUCCAUACAUAUUUUAAUUAAAAGCUCAUUUGAAUGUGGAGCAGUAAAAUUGAACAGCGUCACCGUCUGCUCUUUAAUAGCUUACAAGCAUUUUGUAUUCACAGUCCCCAAGCUAGAGUUUCAAGAAAUAUCCCUUUAGAUUUGAUUGUGAAAUAAUCUCAGGACAGUUUUUCUUCUCCCCUCUUCACUUCAUAGGCUAUUUAUAAUUUGGCUUAACAAGGCAGACUCAAGAUGAACAUAAAUGGACCCCAUGGACUGCAGCGCACCAGGCUCUUCUGUCCUCCACCACUCAAAUUCAUGUCCGUUGAGCCAGUGAUGCCAUCCAACCAUCUCAUCCUCUGUUGUCCCCUUCUC
ensembl:lncRNA